AAAUUGAAGAGUUUGAUCAUGGCUCAGAUUGAACGCUGGCGGCAGGCCUAACACAUGCAAGUCGAACGGUAACAGGAAACAGCUUGCUGUUUCGCUGACGAGUGGCGGACGGGUGAGUAAUGUCUGGGAAACUGCCUGAUGGAGGGGGAUAACUACUGGAAACGGUAGCUAAUACCGCAUAACGUCGCAAGACCAAAGAGGGGGACCUUCGGGCCUCUUGCCAUCGGAUGUGCCCAGAUGGGAUUAGCUAGUAGGUGGGGUAACGGCUCACCUAGGCGACGAUCCCUAGCUGGUCUGAGAGGAUGACCAGCCACACUGGAACUGAGACACGGUCCAGACUCCUACGGGAGGCAGCAGUGGGGAAUAUUGCACAAUGGGCGCAAGCCUGAUGCAGCCAUGCCGCGUGUAUGAAGAAGGCCUUCGGGUUGUAAAGUACU
rnacentral:rRNA from 1 species